rnacentral:rRNA from 1 species
GUACGGGAGGCAGCAGCGAGGAAUAUUGCGCAAUGGGCGAAAGCCUGACGCAGUAACGCCGCGUGAGGGAUGAAGGCCUUCGGGUCGUAAACCUCUUUUCGGAGGGACGAGUGAGGACGGUACCUCUGGAAUAAGUCUCGGCUAACUACGUGCCAGCAGCCGCGGUAAAACGUAGGAGGCGAGCGUUAUCCGGAUUCACUGGGCGUAAAGCGCGUGUAGGCGGCUCGUCAAGUCGGUUGUGAAAGCCCCUGGCUCAACUGGGGGAGGUCAGCCGAGACUGAUGGGCUGGAGGGUCAGAGAGGAAGGUGGAAUUCCCGGUGUAGCGGUGGAAUGCGUAGAGAUCGGGAGGAACACCAGUGGCGAAGGCGGCCUUCUGGCUGACCACUGACGCUGAGACGCGAAAGCGUGGGUAGCAAACGGGAUUAGAUACCCUCGUAU